UACAGAGGUCCCAAGCGUUGUUCGGAUUCACUGGGCGUAAAGGGUGCGUAGGUGGUAGAUCAAGUCGGGUGUGAAAUCUCCGGGCUCAACCCGGAGCGUGCGCCCGAAACUGGUCUGCUAGAGGGUGGGAGGGGAGACUGGAAUUCUCGGUGUAGCAGUGAAAUGCGUAGAUAUCGAGAGGAACACCGGUGGCGAAGGCGAGUCUCUGGACCACUCCUGACACUGAGGCACGAAAGCCGGGGGAGCAAACAGG
rnacentral:rRNA from 1 species